rfam:Prunus persica cultivar Lovell chromosome G2, whole genome shotgun sequence.
UUGGGAGCUCACUGGCUUUGGAGUCAAGGGAGCUCACUGGCUUUGGAGUCAAGGGAACUCCGAAGUUAAGCGAGUUGGGGCUAGAGAAAUCCCAGGAUGGGUGACCCAUUAGGAAGUUGCUCGUGAGUUCCCAAA